AUUGAACGCUGGCGGCAGGCCUAACACAUGCAAGUCGAGCGGAGCGGCGGACGGGUGAGUAAUGCCUAGGAAUCUGCCUGGUAGUGGGGGAUAACGUCCGGAAACGGGCGCUAAUACCGCAUACUAUCAGAUGAGCCUAGGUCGGAUUAGCUAGUAGGUGGGGUAACGGCUCACCUAGGCGACGAUCCCUAGCUGGUCUGAGAAGAUGACCAGCCACACUGAAGCUAAGACACGGUCCCGCCUCCUACGGGGGGCAGCAGUGGGGAAUAUUGCACAAUGGGCGCAAGCCUGAUGCAUCAAUGCCGCGUGUAUGAAGAAGGCCUUCGGGUUGUAAAGUACUUUCAGCGGGGAGGCGUUACCCGCAGAAGAAGCACCGGCUAACUCCGUGCCAGCAGCCGCGGUAAUUC
rnacentral:rRNA from 1 species